GGGUUGUGAGGUUAAGCGACUAAGCGUACACGGUGGAUGCCCUGGCAGUCAGAGGCGAUGAAGGACGUGCUAAUCUGCGAUAAGCGUCGGUAAGGUGAUAUGAACCGUUAUAACCGGCGAUUUCCGAAUGGGGAAACCCAGUGUGAUUCGUCACACUAUCAUUAACUGAAUCCAUAGGUUAAUGAGGCGAACCGGGGGAACUGAAACAUCUAAGUACCCCGAGGAAAAGAAAUCAACCGAGAUUCCCCCAGUAGCGGCGAGCGAACGGGGAGCAGCCCAGAGCCUGAAUCAGUGUGUGUGUUAGUGGAAGCGUCUGGAAAGGCGCGCGAUACAGGGUGAC
rnacentral:rRNA from 1 species